rnacentral:rRNA from 1 species
GACGAACCGUGCGAACGUUGUUCGGAAUCACUGGGCUUAAAGGGCGCGUAGGCGGCUUUGUAAGUCGGUUGUGAAAUCCCCGGGCUUAACCUGGGAACUGCAUCCGAGACUGCAUGGCUAGAGUAUGGGAGAGGGAAGUGGAAUUUCAGGUGUAGCGGUGAAAUGCGUAGAUAUCUGAAGGAACAUCAGUGGCGAAAGCGACUUCCUGGACCAAUACUGACGCUCAUGUGCGAAAGCGUGGGGAGCAAACAGG